AAUACUUAUGCGGAAAAUUGAAACGAACAAGUACUUUAAAAAUUAAAGAAAAAUUGUUCAGAACAAUUAAAAAGUCAACUAACAGAAUUAUGCACCAAGUAUAGUGAUGUGUUCGGACUGGAAACCGAACCAAUAGCGACAAAUAAUUUGUAUAAGCAAACAUUAAAACUUAAAGAUGAUGAACCAAUUUAUAUUAAAAACUACAGAAGCCCGCGUAACCAAAUUGAAGAAAUUCAAAAACACGUAAGGAAAUUAAUAAAUGAAAAAAUCGUAACACCGUCUGUAUCCGGUUAUAACAGCCCACUCCUGUUAGUUCCAAAAAAAUCAUUACCAAAUUCGGAAGAUCAGAAAUGGCGAUUAGUAAUUAACUAUCACCAAAUCAACAAAAAACUACUUUCUGAUAAAUACCCGCUCCGCAGAAUUGAUGAUAUUCUAGACCAACUGGGCAGAGCUAAAUACUUUUCAUGCCUUGACUUAAUGUCUGGUUUCCACCAAAUUGAACAUGAAGAAAAUUCAAGAAAUAAUACAUAUUUUUCAACGAGCAAUGGCUCAUAUCGCUUCAUGCGAUUAAUAUUUGGUCUUAAAAUAGCAACAAAUUCAUUUCAGAGAAUGAUGACAAUAGGAUUCUCGGGGUUAGAACCUUCUCAGGCAUUCCUUUAUAUGGAUGACUUAAUGGUGAUAGGAAAUUCCGAAAAACGCAUCAUUAACGAGAAGAAACGUAACUGACAUUUUUAA